rnacentral:sRNA from 1 species
AUCUGUAGAGUGAUCCAUCGAUUCCGAAAGGUCGGCGGGCCGGUCGGUUUUCCCUACGCACUGCCGCAAGGCAGACCGCCAU